rfam:Rattus norvegicus chromosome 3, whole genome shotgun sequence.
GGGGAUUUAGCUCAGUGGUAGAGCGCUUGCCUAGCAAGCGCAAGGCUCUGGGUUCGGUUCCCAGCUCCG